rnacentral:rRNA from 1 species
AGUAAUGUCUGGGAAACUGCCUGAUGGAGGGGGAUAACUACUGGAAACGGUAGCUAAUACCGCAUAACGUCGCAAGACCAAAGAGGGGGACCUUCGGGCCUCUUGCCAUCGGAUGUGCCCAGAUGGGAUUAGCUAGUAGGUGGGGUAACGGCUCACCUAGGCGACGAUCCCUAGCUGGUCUGAGAGGAUGACCAGCCACACUGGAACUGAGACACGGUCCAGACUCCUACGGGAGGCAGCAGUGGGGAAUAUUGCACAAUGGGCGCAAGCCUGAUGCAGCCAUGCCGCGUGUAUGAAGAAGGCCUUCGGGUUGUAAAGUACUUUCAGCGGGGAGGAAGGGAGUAAAGUUAAUACCUUUGCUCAUUGACGUUACCCGCAGAAGAAGCACCGGCUAACUCCGUGCCAGCAGCCGCGGUAAUACGGAGGGUGCAAGCGUUAAUCGGAAUU